GAGGAGCUUGCUCCUUUGACGUUAGCGGCGGACGGGUGAGUAACACGUGGGUAACCUACCUAUAAGACUGGGAUAACUUCGGGAAACCGGAGCUAAUACCGGAUAAUAUUUCGAACCGCAUGGUUCGAUAGUGAAAGAUGGCUUUGCUAUCACUUAUAGAUGGACCUGCGCCGUAUUAGCUAGUUGGUAAGGUAACGGCUUACCAAGGCAACGAUACGUAGCCGACCUGAGAGGGUGAUCGGCCACACUGGAACUGAGACACGGUCCAGACUCCUACGGGAGGCAGCAGUAGGGAAUCUUCCGCAAUGGGCGAAAGCCUGACGGAGCAACGCCGCGUGAGUGAUGAAGGUCUUCGGAUCGUAAAACUCUGUUAUUAGGGAAGAA
rnacentral:rRNA from 1 species